UAGCAGACAUCAUCAUGAGUCAAUCUGACAAACAACUGGCAAAUCCUUUUCAGUCCUUGUCAUAUGAAAAUAAAUAAUGAAGAGAAAUUAUAGAUAAAACGUAUCGGUGCUCAUCGUCCAUUGGACAUUAGCAUUACACGACAAGUUGGAAAUCGCAAAUUCAACAAUGAGUGGUUUGGAAGGAAGUGAGCACAGCCCAACACUAGCUUCUGGGCAUCAGAACUGGGAUUAUUCACCUCAAUUUGGAUGAGGAGUUCUUCAAUGACUCGGACGCAAGAGAUAUACUGCAGACACCUGACCAGGCCCGACACCCUUAUUCACUGGAGAAGGAAACUGAGAUUUCGAGGCAAAAGAUCAAGGCGCCUUGCGAGGAUCAGGCGACGAGCGGCUAAUCUGCCCUUGCCUUCCCUUCAUAACCAUCUUUCUGAAAUUGUGAGUUAUUCAGGUUUUCAUAAAAGGAAUUGACAAAGACUGAUAUUUCAAUGGGAUCUUUGCAUACAUAAUACAUUGUUCAUUUUGAGUGCAGUUAUAUAUUUUCUUUUGUAGUUUAUUUUCAAGAGCAAAGAAAUAACUGGUGUUUCUUUCCCUUCUUCAAUCCAUGUAGCUCUUUGUCUGAGAAAAGCACCCUAAAACAGUUCGAACUCUAUUUGGAAAGAUUGAAGUUCAGACUCUUCUUCUUGACAUACAGUAUCUUUCUUCAGGAGCCUGUCAACAUUGAUCAUUCAAUGAUUUUAUCUAAGGUGUGUCAGGUGUUCCAGCUCUUUGACAAGUUUAAUAGCUAAAACUGAUUUUUACAUUUAAAGAAAUCCCAUUUACUUCCAUGAACUAAGUCUCCUCUCGCAAAAUGAUCUUUGGCUAACGAUUUGAUGAUUCCAUUGAAUAUAGGAUUUCUAAGAAGUGUGUUGUUUAAUUUCCAAUAGACUCAAAUAUCCUUAGAUCUUUUAACAGCUUGUAAUUUCAGGGAAAUCAAAUGAUGAUCAGAAAAGGGAGCAAAUUGAUGAUUUACUGUACAUCUAUAACAUUGAUGAUUUACUGUACAUCUAUAACAUUGAUGAUUUACUGUACAUCUAUAACAUUGAUGAUUUACUGUACAUCUGAAACAAAUUGUAGCAAAGGAAUAAAUCUAUUCUAGAUUCUGUGA